AUGAUUGAAGCCAACGCUGCCGAUUCAGUUCUGAUCAUAGCUCAAUGCCACCGUCUCAAACUCGCUCUCUUCUCACCUCCAUCGAGUUCUAUCUUCCUCGUUCUCGCAUUAUUAUCAAGUUGCGGUUGUGAUGUUGUUGAUGCAGGAAGGAGUUCGCAAAAGAUGAUGAAGAAAUGCUGCGACAAUGUUGUUGUGGUUAUUGUAGAAUCAAGAUGGAAGAGGGAACUGAAGAGUGAAGCUUCUCGUCCUUUGCUUGAAGGUUAG